AGGUUAAGCUAGAAAGGGCGCACGGUGGAUGCCUUGGCACUAGGAGCCGAUGAAGGACGGGGCAAACGCCGAAACGCUCCGGGGAGCUGUAAGCAAGCGUGGAUCCGGAGAUGUCCGAAUGGGGGAACCCACUGCUCGUAAUGGGGCAGUAUCCAUGCCUGAAUCCAUAGGGCAUGGAGGGCACACCCGGGGAACUGAAACAUCUUAGUACCCGGAGGAGAAGAAAGCAAACGCGAUUCCCCAAGUAGCGGCGAGCGAAACGGGAACAGCCCAAACCAAGAGGCGUGUCCUCUUGGGGUUGUAGGACCGCUCAUGGUGGGAGUGAGAAAGGGACGGGGUAGACGAACCGGUCUGGAACGGCCGGCCAGAGAAGGUGAGAGCCCUGUAGUCGAAACUUCGUUCCCUCCCGAGCGGAUCCUGAGUACGGCGGGACACGAGGAAUCCCGUCGGAAGCAGGGAGGACCAUCUCCCAAGGCUAAAUACUCCCUAGUGACCGAUAGUGAACCAGUACCGUGAGGGAAAGGUGAAAAGCACCCCGGGAGGGGAGUGAAAGAGAACCUGAAACCGUGUGCCUACAAGUAGUCAGAGCCCGUUGAUGGGUGAUGGCGUGCCUUUUGUAGAAUGAACCGGCGAGUGACGAUGGCGUGCGAGGUUAAGCCGAAGAGGCGGAGCCGCAGCGAAAGCGAGUCUGAACAGGGCGAAAAGUACGUCGUCGUCGACCCGAAACCAGGUGAUCUACCCAUGUCCAGGGUGAAGGCCGGGUAACACCGGCUGGAGGCCCGAACCCACGCACGUUGAAAAGUGCGGGGAUGAGGUGUGGGUAGGGGUGAAAUGCCAAUCGAACUUGGAGAUAGCUGGUUCUCCCCGAAAUAGCUUUAGGGCUAGCCUCGGGCUUGAGAGUGUUGGAGGUAGAGCACUGAUUGGGCUAGGGGCCCAAACCGGGUUACCGAACCCAGUCAAACUCCGAAUGCCAACGACUUAUGCCCGGGAGUCAGACUACGAGUGAUAAGAUCCGUGGUCGAGAGGGGAACAGCCCAGACCGCCAGCUAAGGCCCCCAAGUGCACGUUCAGUGGAAAAGGAUGUGGAGUUGCCAAGACAACCAGGAUGUUGGCUUAGAAGCAGCCACCAUUUAAAGAGUGCGUAAUAGCUCACUGGUCGAGUGACUCUGCGCCGAAAAUGUACCGGGGCUAAACGUGCCGCCGAAGCUGCGGGAUGACCGUUGGUCAUCGGUAGGGGAGCGUUCUAAGGGCAGAGAAGCCAGACCGGAAGGACUGGUGGAGCGCUUAGAAGUGAGAAUGCCGGUAUGAGUAGCGAAAACAGAGGUGAGAAUCCUCUGCGCCGAAAGCCUAAGGGUUCCUGAGGAAGGUUCGUCCGCUCAGGGUUAGUCGGGACCUAAGCCGAGGCCGAAAGGCGUAGGUGAUGGACAACAGGUUGAGAUUCCUGUACCACCUUCUUCCCGUUUGAGCGAUGGGGGGACGCAGGAGGAUAGGGCGAGCAGGCGGCUGGAAGAGCCUGUCCAAGCCGUGAGGCUGAUCCGCAGGCAAAUCCGCGGAUUGGAAGGCCGAGCGGUGACGGCGACGGAGUCAUCCGGAAGUCCCCGAUUUCACACUGCCAAGAAAAGCCUCUAGCGAGGGAAGAGGUGCCCGUACCGCAAACCGACACAGGUAGGCGAGGAGAGAAUCCUAAGGCGCGCGGGAGAACUCUCGUUAAGGAACUCGGCAAAAUGACCCCGUAACUUCGGGAGAAGGGGUGCUCUUUGGGGUGAAGAGCCCUGAAGAGCCGCAGUGAAAAGGCCCAAGCGACUGUUUAUCAAAAACACAGGUCUCUGCGAAGCCGAAAGGCGACGUAUAGGGGCUGACACCUGCCCGGUGCUGGAAGGUUAAGGGGAGCGCUUAGCGGAAGCGAAGGUGCGAACCGAAGCCCCAGUAAACGGCGGCCGUAACUAUAACGGUCCUAAGGUAGCGAAAUUCCUUGUCGGGUAAGUUCCGACCCGCACGAAAGGUGUAACGACUUGGGCGCUGUCUCAACGAGAGACCCGGUGAAAUUAUACUACCUGUGAAGAUGCAGGUUACCCGCGACAGGACGGAAAGACCCCGUGGAGCUUUACUGCAGCCUGAUAUGGAAUUUUGGUAUCGCUUGUACAGGAUAGGUGGGAGCCUGGGAAGCCGGAGCGCCAGCUUCGGUGGAGGCGGCGGUGGGAUACCACCCUGGCGGUAUUGAAAUUCUAACCCGCACCCCUUAGCGGGGUGGGAGACAGUGUCAGGUGGGCAGUUUGACUGGGGCGGUCGCCUCCCAAAAGGUAACGGAGGCGCCCAAAGGUUCCCUCAGAAUGGUUGGAAAUCAUUCGGAGAGUGCAAAGGCACAAGGGAGCUUGACUGCGAGACGGACAGGUCGAGCAGGGACGAAAGUCGGGCUUAGUGAUCCGGUGGUUCCGCAUGGAAGGGCCAUCGCUCAACGGAUAAAAGCUACCCCGGGGAUAACAGGCUGAUCUCCCCCAAGAGUCCACAUCGACGGGGAGGUUUGGCACCUCGAUGUCGGCUCAUCGCAUCCUGGGGCUGUAGUCGGUCCCAAGGGUUGGGCUGUUCGCCCAUUAAAGCGGUACGCGAGCUGGGUUCAGAACGUCGUGAGACAGUUCGGUCCCUAUCCGUCGCGGGCGGAGGAAAUUUGAGAGGAGCUGUCCUUAGUACGAGAGGACCGGGAUGGACGCACCGCUGGUGUACCAGUUGUCCCGCCAGGGGCACCGCUGGGUAGCUAUGUGCGGACGGGAUAAGCGCUGAAAGCAUCUAAGCGUGAAGCCCCCCUCAAGAUGAGAUUUCCCACCGCGUUAGGCGGGUAAGAUCCCUCGAAGAUGACGAGGUCGAUAGGUCCGAGGUGGAAGCGUGGCGACACGUGGAGCUGACGGAUACUAAUCGAUCGAGGGCUUAACCUAG
rnacentral:rRNA from 1 species